rnacentral:rRNA from 1 species
GGGCCUGCACAAGCGGUGGAGUAUGUGGCUUAAUUCGAAGAUACGCGCAGAACCUUACCAACACUUGACAUGUUCGUCGCGACUUUAAGAGAUUAAAGUUUUCGGUUCGGCCGGACGAAACACAGGUGCUGCAUGGCUGUCGUCAGCUCGUGUCGUGAGAUGUUGGGUUAAGUCCCGCAACGAGCGCAACCCUCACUUUUAGUUGCCAUCAUUAAGUUGGGCACUCUGAAAGAACUGCCAGUGAUAAGCUGGAGGAAGGUGGGGAUGACGUCAAGUCCUCAUGGCCCUUACGUGUUGGGCUACACACGUGCUACAAUGGUAUCUACAACAGGAAGCAAGACGGCGACGUUAAGCAAAUCCUUAAAAGAUACCUCAGUUCGGAUUGCACUCUGCAACUCGAGUGCAUGAAGCUGGAAUUACUAGUAA